rnacentral:rRNA from 1 species
AACGAACGCUGGCGGCAGGCCUAACACAUGCAAGUCGAGCGAAGCCUUCGGGCUUAGCGGCGGACGGGUGAGUAACGCGUGGGAACGUGCCCUUUGGUACGGAAUAGCCCCGGGAAACUGGGAGUAAUACCGUAUGUGGUCGAGAGACGAAAGAUUUAUCGCCAAAGGAUCGGCCCGCGUUGGAUUAGGUAGUUGGUGGGGUAAUGGCCUACCAAGCCGACGAUCCAUAGCUGGUUUGAGAGGAUGAUCAGCCACACUGGGACUGAGACACGGCCCAGACUCCUACGGGAGGCAGCAGUUGGGAAUCUUAGACAAUGGGGGAAACCCUGAUCUAGCCAUGCCGCGUGAUCGAUGAAGGCCUUAGGGUUGUAAAGAUCUUUCAGUGGGGAAGAUAAUGACGGUACCCGUAGAAUAAGCCCCGGCUAACUUCGUGCCAGCCGCCGCCGUAACAC